GACGAACGCUGGCGGCGUGCCUAAUACAUGCAAGUAGAACGCUGAAGAGAGGAGCUUGCUCUUCUUGGAUGAGUUGCGAACGGGUGAGUAACGCGUAGGUAACCUGCCUGGUAGCGGGGGAUAACUAUUGGAAACGAUAGCUAAUACCGCAUAAAAUUGAUUAUUGCAUGAUAAUUAAUUGAAAGAUGCAACUGCAUCACUACCAGAUGGACUUGCGUUGUAUUAGCUAGUUGGUGAGGUAACGGCCCACCAAGGCGACGAUACAUAGCCGACCUGAGAGGGUGAUCGGCCACACUGGGACUGAGACACGGCCCAGACUCCUACGGGAGGCAGCAGUAGGGAAUCUUCGGCAAUGGGGGGAACCCUGACCGAGCAACGCCGCGUGAGUGAAGAAGGUUUUCGGAUCGUAAAGCUCUGUUGUAAGAGAAGAACGGGUGUGAGAGUGGAAAGUUCACACUGUGACGGUAUCUUACCAGAAAGGGACGGCUAACUACGUG
rnacentral:rRNA from 1 species